GGCCUGGUGGUCUAGUAGUAUGAUUCCUUCUUAGGGUGAUCCGAAGUGGAGGAGGUCCCGGGUUCAAUUCCCGGCCAGGCCC